GCCUGUAGUCCCAGCUACUCGGGAGGCUGAGCCCGCCGGAUCGCUUGAGCCCAGGAGUUCUGGGCUGCAGUGCGCUAUGCCGAGCGGGUGUCCGCGCUAAGGUCAGCAUCAAUAUGAUGAGUCUCGGGGAGCCGGGGGACACCAGGUUGACUAAGGAGGGGUGAACCGGCCCAGGUCGGAGACGGAGCAGGUCAAAGCUCCCGUGCCGGUCAGUAGCGGGAUCGCGCCUGUGACAAGUUAAAUCAGAGUGCAUGGUCAAGAUAUUAACCUGCCGAGA
rnacentral:SRP_RNA from 1 species